rnacentral:lncRNA from 1 species
GUAACCUACACAUGCUAAAUGUGGCUUACAAAUCUUUUGACUUCAUGGAAGACGCACACCAUCAAGAAUAAUUCGUUUGAGACCCACUUGGCUUACCUAAAGUCAAUGAAAAGCCAACUAAGACAUUAAUUUGUAGUGGUGAAAUUCGCCUCAGCAUGGACACAUAUCACCUACCUGGUUGCCUUCUUUAAAGAUAAGAAAAAUGUUUUUUAAAUCUCAUCAAUUGACUUUAUUUGAAAAGUUCCUGUCCUCUUUAAAUCAUUCUGAAAAUGUAAGUGCUGGUGUAUUUCGGCCCUCCAACACAGAAAAGAAAGAAGUUUCUCCGUGUGAUGAUAAUUCAGUUAGGAAUACUAUGUGCUAUGCCCCCAAAAGACAUUCCUCUGUUAUAACAUUGCUAGAAACCUGUGAUUGGGAGUAGAGAAAUUGUACAUGGGUGAUCCUUAUUAAGGCCAACUUGAAAAUUCUUCUCUCCACAGCAGCACUUCACGGGGAGAAAGGGGGAAAUUUCUCUGCUUGCAAGUGAAAUUCAACCAAAUGAUAAUAUGCUGUUAGAUAAUAUGCCCUUUCAGACACUGAUCAAGUGAACUUUUUUCUCAAUUCAAGACGACAUCUUCUUUGAAGCUAUGCUAUCACUCGAUAUUAAUUUUAAUGUGUAUUUACUAAUCUCCAAAAUUCAGUUCAUUCUCUGCUGGUUUUCUUUACCGUCAGGUAGAUUAAAAUAUUCCUAAAUACUGCCUCCUUGGAAGAUUCCUGAAGUGUUCUAAGCCUUCCCAGAAGCUAUUGGUCAAUGUUAAACAAUACUGAGAAUUCUAAAGUAAUUCCACACAGUAAUGCCCACUGGUAAAACCCCAAGGAAGAGAUGCUACCAACUGUGUCGCUGAUGGAUGAGAGCUGUUUCAUGUUUUUCUUCCUAAAUAGUUUCCUUUGAUAUUUUAACAGUUUUAUGGUAAUGUAUUUUUGUGUUGUUUUCUCUUUCCUUAGUCUUCUUCUCCCUUCCCUCCUGCACCUCUCCUCCAUCCUCUUUCCUCACGGAUGGUCCAGUCGCUGUGGUCAGCCUCUGUGCCCCACCUGGGUAGCUGAUGAAGGAGGUGCAGUUGGUUUUGCCAGUUUAGUCAACUUCAGAACAUCAGUGGGCUCUCAAAACACUUCUUCAGCUCCCAGGGCACUGCUCAGCCAUCUUCUUCUCAUUUUGGAACUAGGUCUCCCUGAAGCCCUGAAACUGGCCCAGUUCCUUUGGUUGCCAUCGUCUGGGAUGUCACAGACAUCUGGGCUUGCAUCUUUCUGCGUGACUACCCUAAUCCAGUUUCCAUUUAGCAGCUUCUUGUGCUUUUGCCAUGUCCCCCCAACCAGGUCGCUUCAUGUUGUGCUAGGUUGAAUGUAGCUAGGAUGCCAGAAUGGGCUGGUUUUUUCUUUCUGAUCCAGUUUUACAUUGAAUGUGCUGAGAGCCAGAGUGCUCCUUGAGACAUUGUUUGUGAAAAGUAGCCUAUUUUGUGGUAAAUAAGCCAUUAUCAUUUGAGGUUACCAAAGAGGAAGACUUUGUUAGAUUGCUUGAGUCAUAGUCAUGUUUAUGCUGAAACAGAACUCUUCCAACCAUCCCAUUUUACAGACAAGGAAACUGAACUCUAAAGAGAAGAAGAGUCCAGCAGAGGUUAUAGACAGGAGUGAUUUAAGUGCAAAUUUGGGGCUUACAACACUAAUUUGAGAUAAAAUAGGUUUGUGAGGUGUGUGUGUGUGUGUAUGUGUGUGUGUGUGUGUGUGUGUGUGUGUUUUCACAUGGACAUGAACAGAGGAGAAGAGAAAACUGGGAACCCAUAUGGCUGAGGGGGAAAGGAAAUGGAAAAUCUUUGUGUGUGGGGUGAAGAGGAGGCGUAGGAGAGUAGAGGCAAGAAGUGUUCAAAAAGGAAAUCCACCAGAAAAGAGUUAAGAAAGUAAGAAAGAAAGCUCAAAUGUUUAAUAGAUUAAACCAGGGCAGGAACUGAACAGACCGAUUUUAGAAAUUAUGUCGGCAGAACACCUUAAAAAGCAAACCAUGGAAGGAUAUUUCUAGAGAUAAGGAAAAGAAAGAUCUAGAGAAAAGCCCAGGCUGUUAAGCAUGGCUUAAGAGAAUAAUUUGAGUGAAAUCUUGGAAAUGGUUGCUCUUUCCUUAAGUGAAUUAGAGGCAUCAGAGACACAGCUUAACUUGGUGCAGAAAUAGUGUGGAAUUGGCUAUAACCAGACUCUAAACCAGGCGGAGCUAACUGUGUGUGUUUUGUUGACCUGUAUCGUGUGAAACCCAAACUUCCACAUUUCCAAGUUAAGGUAAAUCUUGCAGCCGCAGUGACUGGCUGAGUAGGAGAUUUUGAUGGCCAUACUUUCUUGCAAAGACUGUGCUUUUCACUCUUUUGAACUGUUGAAGUCAAUGGCAGCAUUUAUUACUGGGAGUUUAGUCGAUAGCAAAUUUGACAGCAAUAAAGAAGGACUGCUAAUCA